UGGGGAAUUUUGGACAAUGGGCGAAAGCCUGAUCCAGCAAUGCCGCGUGUGUGAAGAAGGCCUUCGGGUUGUAAAGCACUUUUGUCCGGAAAGAAAUCCUUGGCUCUAAUACAGUCGGGGGGAUGACGGUACCGGAAGAAUAAGCACCGGCUAACUACGUGCCAGCAGCCGCGGUAAUACGUAGGGUGCAAGCGUUAAUCGGAAUUACUGGGCGUAAAGCGUGCGCAGGCGGUUUGCUAAGACCGAUGUGAAAUCCCCGGGCUCAACCUGGGAACUGCAUUGGUGACUGGCAGGCUAGAGUAUGGCAGAGGGGGGUAGAAUUCCACGUGUAGCAGUGAAAAUGCGUAGAGAUGUGGAGGAAUACCGAUGGCGAAGGCAGCCCCCCUGGGGCCAAAUACUGACGCUCAUGCACGAAAAGCGUGGGGAGCAAAACAGGAUUAGAUACCCCUGGUAGUCCACGCCCUAAACGAUGUCAACUAGUUGUUGGGGAUUCAUUUCCUUAGUAACGUAGCUAACGCGUGAAGUUGACCGCCUGGGGAGUACGGUCGCAAGAUUAAAACUUAAAUGAAUUGACGGGGUCAUAGCUGUUUCCU
rnacentral:rRNA from 1 species